GAGCUCGACAGGUGCCUCCCAUCCCUCCGCACCGCUGCUCUGCGCUUCGUGCGUCGGUUGCUCGGAUUGAAGAGAUCGACAAAGAGAGCAAGGCGACUUCAAGCAGAUCGUGACGAUGCUGCGCCACAUCAAGGACAAGGCUCACAAGGACGGCCAGAAGAAGACCGAGCAGGCCAUCUCCAGGUGAUUCCACCUCCCCCGUGCCUAUUCCCGGUCAAUUUCGCAAUGCUACUGUGCGCAGUCCUUCUACCAGCCCCACUCUUACGAGGGAUUUGUUGCCUGCCACGGUAGUUUCGGCAGCUAAGAGUAUGUUGUUUGUGUUUCUAACCUGCUGCAUGCCCUGUAUCUGAACCUGAUGUAUGCACUGUAUCUGAAUCUACUGGUAUGCCUUCUAUCUGAACCUGAUGUACUCCCUGUAUAUGAACCUACUGUAUGCCUUGUGUCUGAACCUGAUGUAUGCCCUGUAUCUGAAUCUAGGUUUCAGGAGUCUGUAACUGGAUGGGAACUAGGAGUUACCAGUGGCAUGUUGUUUGUGAA